UCUUGAGGAUUUGAUUUUCAACAAAUGGCUAGUAUUUUGACAAGAAGCAGAGCAACCAGGAGACAACGGAAGGAAAGAGGCCCUGGUCUCCUCGGGAACUGUGUUACUGACAGAACAAGGAACAGCUUUGGCUGGAGAUGUUUAUGCUGACUUUGGAGUAUGGAUCAGAAGAGGGUCCUGGCUUGCUGAUGGAGCUCAGGCCUAUGGAAAACAGGAUGAUCUUACAGUUAAAAACAAACAACCCUGGGUGUGGUCUCAGGGCCUGGGAGGAAAGGAUGAGUCAGCUGAAAGUGAUGGAAAUUGACGAAUCUCUCAAGAGAUGCUGCCAUUUCCUGAGCACCUGUGAGCUCAUCUUAUCCUCACAACUGAAAGUGCUUUUUCCGACGUCAGACAUGGAAAAAUAUGGCACCUAAAAGAGGAUGUCACUUUGACAACCAAUACUCCCCCAGCCCAAAACCAAUUAUUAUAAUCACUGAUGAAACUGUGAUAUGGCCUGUGAUUCACUUACAUACUCUUCUGUGUCCAUAAGAUCAGCUUCUGUCUUCCGCUUCCACCACUCCCAGUUCUCAUUCUAUUCCUAGUGUUACCUCUUGAAGAUGAUGCCUGUCCCUUAAGUAGCAGAAGCAGCUUUCUGUAUCUGGAAGAAGAGAGGCCACACUGGGCUUGAGGAGACACCAUGAUUUAUGGUCCUAGAUGAUGUCCCCUUCUCACCAUUCCCACACACAGUCACCCUUUGAGCUUGCACCAUCCUCAUAGGGGACCCUGUUGGCACUACUAUGUGGGGGAACAGCGACCCUCAAGGUUCAGGUGCAGAAGCAAGCACCCGUCAGGUGUGAUCCUGGCUCUGCCACUCACUGUG
rnacentral:lncRNA from 1 species